GCUCAUGGGACUCCUGCCUCUCCUGGGCUUGGCCGCUCCUGUCUUGGCAAGCCCCAGACCCUGCCUUGGAUUUCUUUCUGGCCUCCAAGUGGGCGCUUGGCUCCUGGCACCUGGCAGCCUUGGCUGUCUCCCCAGCCCCACUGUCCUGCCUCUCUGCUUGGGACCCAUGGGAGCUGCCAUCUCCCCAGCCCCAGUGCUGGGAUGACAGGCAUGAGCCACCACACCCAGACGAGAGGGCACAUUUCCAACUGCAUUCUGAAGGCCUGGUGGUGAGAAAGAGCAUAUAGAGGUGGCACAGCCCAUAGCAGAGAUGAGGCCAAGGACAAGAAGAGAAUGCAGGAUGCCGCUUUCCACCUAGAAGAAGUUUAAAACCUGCGGUUCCAGGGUUCUCCAGCCCCUCCCUUUUUCACGCUCCGAAGCCGAGAAGGCCCAAAGCGAAGACAGAGAGGACCCGGAAGUAGGGAAAACCUCUGAGCACGUGAUGGGGGAACACGCGGGUGCUGUCACGUGAUCCGACAAACGGCCUCUGCAUAGUGCAGAACAUUCUGCUGCUCUUAAAGACCCU
rnacentral:lncRNA from 1 species